CCUACGGGUGGCAGCAGUGAGGAAUAUUGGUCAAUGGGCGAGAGCCUGAACCAGCCAAGUCGCGUGAGGGAAGACGGUCCUACGGAUUGUAAACCUCUUUUGUCAGGGAGCAAGGAGCGCCACGAGUGGUGCGGCGAGAGUACCUGAAGAAAAAGCAUCGGCUAACUCCGUGCCAGCAGCCGCGGUAAUACGGAGGAUGAGAGCGUUAUCCGGAUUUAUUGGGGUUAAGGGGUGCGCAGGCGGAAGCGGCAAGACAGCGGUAAAAUUGCGGGGCUCAACCUGGACGGGCCGUUGAAACGGGUCUUCUAGGGUGAGCGAGAGGUAUGCGGAAUGCGUGUGUAGCGGUGAAAUGCAUAGAUAUCACGAAGAACUCCGAUUGCGAAGGCAGCAUACCGGCGCCCAACUAACGCUCAUGCACGAAAGCGUGGGUAUCGAACAGGAUUAGAUACCCUUGUAGUC
rnacentral:rRNA from 1 species